GCUGACCUGGGCUAGUAGGACCCAGGGAGAACUCCAAUGGCAUCUGUGUCAGCAUGCCCAUACCAGGCCACAACAACGGCCACUGCCAAUGUCCUAGUCCCCGGAGAGGUCUCACCCCUCACGGAGAUGCACUCAGGGCCUAUUAGCAUUGUGUGCCUUCAGCCCGGGUUCUGGACACCAAUCUAACUCAAUGAGAGGAAAGCAUAGGGCUUGACCUAUGGAAGAAGAAUUAUAAAACAUUUGCGCUAUUGGGAAUGCCUGUGCUCCAAAAAGGAUAAAAACGUAAUUAACUAUUGAUCAAGGAAAAAAGUCAAGAACACAGAGCCAUGUGAGGAUACAGCAAGGUGACAAUCUGCAAACCAGGAAGAGAAUUCUUAUCAGAACCUGACCAUACUGGCACCUUGAUCUUGGACUUCCCAGCCUCCAGAACUGUGAGAAAUAAAUAUCUGCUGUGUAAGCCACCCAGACUAUGGUAUUUUGUUACGGCAACCUGAGUAGACUAAGACACUGACCAAUGAAAUUUCUGUGAUGAUGUAAAUGUUCUAUA